rnacentral:rRNA from 1 species
UACGGGGGGAGCAAGCGUUGUUCGGAUUCAUUGGGCGUAAAGGGUGCGUAGGUGGCGAGGCAAGUCGGAUGUGAAAUCCCGGGGCUUAACCCCGGAACUGCAUUCGAUACUGCCUUGCUCGAGUACUGGAGAGGAGACUGGAAUUUACGGUGUAGCAGUGAAAUGCGUAGAUAUCGUAAGGAAGACCAGUGGCGAAGGCGAGUCUCUGGACAGUUACUGACACUGAGGCACGAAGGCCAGGGGAGCAAACGGG